UACGUAGGGUGCGAGCGUUGUCCGGAAUUACUGGGCGUAAAGAGCUCGUAGGUGGUUUGUCGCGUUGUUCGUGAAAACCGGGGGCUUAACCCUCGGCGUGCGGGCGAUACGGGCAGACUUGAGUACUGCAGGGGAGACUGGAAUUCCUGGUGUAGCGGUGAAAUGCGCAGAUAUCAGGAGGAACACCGGUGGCGAAGGCGGAUCUCUGGGCCAUUACUGACGCUGAGGAGCGAAAGCGUGGGGAGCGAACAGG
rnacentral:rRNA from 1 species